UACACAAGUAUCGCUGUGCGUUGCUUUGAGACGCUUCGACCAAGUUUUUUCAGCUUUUGAGUUAUUUUGGAACUAUUUUCACUCAAUAAUACAAUUACAGAAAUAGUAACUGGUAAUACUGUGUCUAAAAUGUGAGUUACGUAAUAUUACAUUCUUGUUUAUUUAAUUGUUAAAAGCAAUGUCCAGUUUUAUGUGAGGGGUGUGGGGAAUGAACGUCUUGGCAGUCAACAGACUCGCUUGCCUUCAGGAGAACUUCCUCUGUUGGUUCAGACUGAUUGGAGAACAGAGUUGAAAAGCACAGCAGAGCCUCUCUGUGUUCCCUACUAAUGGGUCUGUAUACAUGACAACAGAUGCAAAAGUUUGCACAGGUUCAGGAGGCCUGAAGGAUGACAUACCCUGAGAUGAAGUGUGCAGAAGAAGGACCUCCUUUCUGUAUCCCAUUAACAUCACCUCAUAAAAUGCUCCUACACGACAUGAGCAAACUGACACCCAUGUGU